GGCAGAGCACACCCACUGCACCCACAGGAGCUGCCCUCAGGCAGCCAGCCUGGCCACCUCUUCUGCCACGGGAGCUCGCUUCUGUCACAGGCUGGAAGGAGCAAGAGGAGUCCUCCUGUCUCCAGCAGAAAGCUAAAAACAAAUGCUGGAAGCCCAGGAGUUGAUCAGUUCCCAUCUGAACAGGGCCCUCUGAAAGAUGCCCAAUGCACGCACGGUACAUCCUGGUUUUCCAGAAGAGUGCCACAGAGUAUUGGAGCCUGCCCAGCUCUAUGCUCCUUGAGUAGAGGUCCAGCAGAUGGAAGGGGUGAGCCAGUUAUCUGUGGUCUUUUAACAGCUCAGGCAGCAGCACAGUGCUUCCUUUUGGGACCAGCCCAGUUCUGUUAUGCUCCCCACCUGCCACUGCUGUAUCCAAGCACGGGAGAAGCAGCUCCGGGCUGAGGCUUGGCUCACUGGUAAAGGACAAAAGGCACAUCCCAGCCUGGGUGCGAUGACAAAGCCAGUAGUAUUUGGAAAAUGAAGGAAAAGGGGACUUUCCUGAGAACACUGCUCAUCUCUAGAACCAUCAUUCUUUAGUGCCUGAAAGACAGAUAGUCCUCCCAGUCAAGACACAGUUCCCAAGACAGAAGUGCCUUUACAAGAGAGAUGAAGGAAUGUUUUGGAGUUCUUGCAGAUUUUCAUCCCAGAACCAAAAAGCAAGAAGCAAGUGCAGGAAAAGAGCAUGGAAGGAGAUUGACAUCUGUUUUCCCUUCACCGUCCUAAAGCAGCUCAGCAUCGGUUCCUGAGCAGCUGAGGAACCUCUGCUGUGGAGGCAAGAACCUUGGAGAGAAGGGCAGGGCACAUUUCCUGGCUAAAGUCAAAGGCACAAGGUGCUGGCCAACACUGAGAUGCCAAACUGGAGGCUGGUCCACCCACCAGAUCUCUAGGAUGUCUCUCGGAGAUUGUGCAGAUCCGAGCAGCAGCACAAAGCAUCGUGAAGUCAAAUGUAACAUUAAAAAUGCAUUCAGCAUGGUAAGUCAGCGUAUCCUUCUACCUAGAUUCCUUUGAAAAUCAGAGCUCAUCUGGGACAAGUAUGACUCCAUCAUGUAUGUGAGUAUAUAGCGAACACUGUUGAACUUGUUGGAGACCUUUAACGUUAUCAAAAUACAACUAAUAGUAAUUAAUAUUUACUUGUCAUAUAGCCUCUCCAAUGAAGAACUAAAAUCAAAAUUAUAACCCUUCUGGGAAUAUGCCAAAGCUGAAGGAAAAGCUAGAAGCACACUAUUCUGUAAUCAGGUCAACUUACCUCAUAGCACUUGCUGUAAAAAUAUGAAUUACGUUAUGUUCCUUUGGCAUUUCUGUGGUUGCCAAUUAUAUUCAAACAUUGUAAGGAGCCUUGCAAACAAUUUGGAUGGAUUCAUGGCUUGCAGUAAGAAUGGCUGUACCCACAGAGCAAGCCUGUGCCAUAGCAAACUCCUCUGCGUUGGUCCUGGCUACAUCCCAGCAGUACCACAAGGCAAGGCCUGGGGGUCACCAGCUCCUGCCUGAGGAAAGCCCACAAAGCAAAUAGAAAGGGAAAUACUGCAGAGCACAGCCCAUCAGCAGUGGGUGACAUGCAGCUGCAAGCACUUAGUCCCUCAGGAGCAGGAUUAACCAAAUCAGUGGUUCUUGGGACAAUGAUGAUGGACUUUGGGUUUAGUAGGGAAAGUGCUGGUGACAGGUAUAAUGGAAUCAUAGUUUAAAUAUAGGAGAACUACAUGCUAUUUCUCUUUUUCCUUUUUUUUUUUUUUUUAAUACAUCGGUAUGUAAAUGGAAAGUCUGGACUGCUGUUAUAGUUUAAUUUCUUCAAAUGGCUGGAGAUCCCAAAACUUUUUAUUUCUUCAGCUGCUUCAUAUACACAUUUGCACACACAACUUUGGAUGCUUGGUAUCUUUGAAAUUCAGGUCAUAUCCACUUGAUAGGCAUGUUUGGGCCUAAUUUUUACUUAUCUUUUAAAAAAUAAAUUUUGGUAAUAGUCUUCAGAAGUAGGAAAAUAGUGAGAAAUUUCUACUGUCAUGCAUGUUCUCACUUUACAGCCAAUCUGAAGUCUACAUGUUCAAAUAAAUCAGUGCUCAAGGACAUUGCUGUCUUCUUCAGGCUUAGGGAGUUAUGCCCAGGCCCAGGAGGUGUGUUUAGGUGCCUAAUGACCAGUGUAUUCCAUAGAUGUUUAAAUAUUAUCACUUAACCAGGACCUGCAUCCAUCUCUGGGCAGAAACAGACAGGAAAUUUUUUAUAUCUAUCUAUCUAUCUAUCUAUUUUUAUAUCUAUUGAGGUAGACAAAAACUUCUACUUGGGACCCUUCUCAGCACUGCUGCAAGGUACAGGGUGGGGUGGAUAGGACGAAAGGGUUCAUCAGCUGGGAUUGCCUCCCACAGCCAAACAGGGCCACAGCUCUCAGGCUGCUCAGGACAUGCACAGAACAAAACCUGCAGCAGCAUGUGCCCAGGAGAGCUCUGCUGUUUCCAAACACGCUGCAACAGCUGCAGAUGCCGCCCAGACACAGCACAGUGCCCAUCUUGCUCCCUUACCACAUGGUACGGACCCUGCUGCUUCUUGAAACUGCCCACGUGCUUGUACAAACCUGUACUUUGCAAAUGCUCACACACGGUGCAUGCAUGAAUUAUUCCCAGGUAUCUGUAAAAUUUAGUUUUGAAAACUGUAAAAUAAUGGCCUGACAACAAGCUGGUCAUAUUUUCCAUGGUUCAUUUACCUCAAACAAACUGAAGGAUCAGCAAAUGUUUUGUAUUAACUUAUUGUUGAGCCAUCCUUGAUUAAGAAAUCGGUUCUUCCUGAAACUUUAUCUGGGAGUGGUCAGGUCUCCACACAGCAUUUCUGCUGCUUUCCUGAGCAAUGGAAGGACCGACACCAGCAAAGAUGGACAACACUUGAGUACUGCCAUCUGUGAUACAAUCAACAGAGCCCCACAGCACUGUUGUUUGGAUCAUUUGGUGCCCAGUUCUGCUCCCACCGAGUUCACAAGAGUUUGUGAUGGGGCAUGUUCAGGCUUCCAGUGUAUUAGUAAUAAUGCUAAUGAUAUUGUAUGCUUUGCCUGCAUUACAGUCUGGUGCUUAGAAAAUAAACAUCUCGGCUUUGCCUCAGUGUUUAUCUCCAAUAAAUACCUCAGCUUUGCCUCAACAAUUAUCUCUUCACAGCAGACCAUUAUCCAGCAGCAACAUAUAAUUCCAUUAACAUUACCGUUUAAAAUAUAUCCUCUCCGUGCUGCAGGGAAAGGAGCUGUGUGUGGGAAAUGUCAGGGGCACCAUGCAUUUUUGGAAUUAAAAUUAAAUCA
rnacentral:lncRNA from 1 species